rnacentral:lncRNA from 1 species
UGCCGCUCUCUGUCACCAAGAAAAGAAAGAAACAGAUCAAAUCAGAUGCAAAUCAGGCUGCAAGUGGGACUGUCCGCGGGAAGCCCGCAUCCGCCCAACAUUCGCCGCAUAGUAUAAGUGGAAGACAUGCAUCUGCCCACAUAUUUUUACACGGGAUAAGUGGGUUUAGCGGACAACCCACAUCCAACCUGACUGAAAGUAAUGUUCAUGCACUCAAAUAACAGCAGAGUACAUGCACGCCAGGCAGCAUAGUACAAAUACUCAAUUGGUCAUGUUCAUGCAUACUGAAUAGUGAUCGUACGAGCUUAGGCAAGUUACCUAAAGCUGGACAUCGUGCACCGACAUACAGCAAGUACAUAUCAUUACAACAUGCUGUUGAGCAGUAUAUGAAUUACAGUAAAACUAGAGGCUACAACCUGCCAUCCUUUAUUUGCAGUAUAAGACUAAAGACAUGAUCAAGUGCAAUAGACUAGAGGCUACAGAAAGAUGGAUUUUUUUUCCAGCUCUUCAAGAUCUUCCAUCACCAUCAACCUGCCAUCCUUUCUUCGAGUAGCAAACUAGCAACCUAUAUUUAUAUCAGAGAAAACAUUAACAAAUGACUGGAUAUGUAGUCUACAUAGAGCCAUUACACAAAAUAAAAACUGCUACAUGUUGCAUCGAUUGAAUUACAGCUAAACUGAACUGAUGGGAGUUAAGGGAGAUGUUUUCUGUUAACAGAACUGAACUGGACUACUGUAUGAGUAAUACAUGCAGCUCUGUUAGGCAUGUAGUGCUGCUGUACUAUCUUAGGUACACAGGCCGGAUGAUUCUUUAUCAAAUGCUGCUCUUUUUUCCUUACAAAGGCAAGUAAAACAUUUGUAUCAGCAAGACAAAAGUAUGUCAAACAGUACUACUUCACUCGCUGUUUGCCGAAGAACCUAAACAGUUCAGGGGAAUUCAGAUAAGUCGCCAUGAAGUUCUAGCCCAAAAUACCUACCUCCAGUUAACAAGAUUUGUGUUAUUUUACACAUAGGUACCACUCAACUUUAUCAUUGCUCAUGUGCAGAACUGACAGUGAUGUGCUUUUUUAUCAGUUAGGUGCAAAUGCAGUCAGAGAUACACCAUUGUCAAACUUAUGCUGUACUAACAGAGAUUCUCAAGGGACAAACUAGUAGCACUACCAAUGAUUCUCAAGAUGUAGUCUACAAUUAUAUGUAGGCAAAUCCAGAUCUCAAGGGGUGAAGGGGAUAACCAGAUAACUACCUUGGCAGGUUCUUCUUGGACAGCAGCUAUAUUCUUCUUCCUCUUCUUGCAGCCAGACCUUGGGAGUUCAUGUCCAGGUCGCUUCUUGCGAGCCUCGCCGGUGAGGGCCAUGGUGGAGGUGGACGGCGGCGUUGGUGCGGCGACGAUUGAGGUGGAAGGCGGCGCUGCGGCGUCCAUGGAGAUGAUGGGUGGCGUCGUUGUGGCAUCCAUGGGGUAGAUUGGCGGCUGCGCUAGGCGCCGCAUAGCGCAGCGGCCAAGGACGGCGGCGGCCUACCCUAGCAUGCGGCGGCGCUAUGCAGGAGGAACGAGGAAAGAAG